rnacentral:rRNA from 1 species
GACGAACGCUGGCGGCGUGCUUAACACAUGCAAGUCGAACGGAAAGGCCCUGCUUUUGUGGGGUGCUCGAGUGGCGAACGGGUGAGUAACACGUGAGUAACCUGCCCUUGACUUUGGGAUAACUUCAGGAAACUGGGGCUCAUACCGGAUAGGAGCUCCUGCUGCACGGUGGGGGUUGGAAAGUUUCGGCGGUUGGGGAUGGACUCGCGGCUUAUCAGCUUGUUGGUGAGGUAGUGGCUUACCAAGGCUUUGACGGGUAGCCGGCCUGAGAGGGUGACCGGCCACAUUGGGACUGAGAUACGACCCGAACUCCUACGGGAGGCAGCAGUGGGAAAUAUUGCACAAUGGGCGGAAGCCUGAUGCAGCAACGCCGCGUGCGGGAUGACGGCCUUCGGGUUGUAAACCGCUUUCGCCUGUGACGAAGCGUGAGUGACGGUAAUGGGUAAAGAAGCACCGGCUAACUACGUG